AGCGAACGCUGGCGGCAGGCUUAACACAUGCAAGUCGAACGGGCACUUCGGUGCUAGUGGCAGACGGGUGAGUAACGCGUGGGAACGUGCCUUUCGGUUCGGAAUAAUCCAGGGAAACUUGGACUAAUACCGGAUACGCCCUUCGGGGGAAAGAUUUAUCGCCGAAAGAUCGGCCCGCGUCGUGAUUAGCUAGUUGGUGAGGUAAAGGCUCACCAAGGCGACGAUCAGUAGCUGGUCUGAGAGGAUGAUCAGCCACACUGGGACUGAGACACGGCCCAGACUCCUACGGGAGGCAG
rnacentral:rRNA from 1 species